rnacentral:rRNA from 1 species
AGAAUCAACGCUGGCGGCGUGCCUAACACAUGCAAGUCGAACGAGAAAGUGGGAGCAAUCCCAUUAGUAAAGUGGCGCACGGGUGAGUAACACGUGACUAACCUACCCUUGAGUGGGGGAUAACCUAGGGAAACCUGGGCUAAUACCGCAUAAUACCUACGGGUCAAAGGAGCAAUUCGCUUUAGGAGGGGGUCGCGGCAGAUUAGUUAGUUGGCGGGGUAAUGGCCCACCAAGACAGUGAUCUGUAUCCGGCCUGAGAGGGCGCACGGACACACUGGAACUGAAACACGGUCCAGACUCCUACGGGAGGCAGCAGUGGGGAAUUUGCGCAAUGGGGGAAACCCUGACGCAGCAACGCCGCGUGGAGGAUGAAGCCCCUUGGGGCGUAAACUCCUUUCGAUCGGAAGAUAAUGACGGUACCGGAAGAAGAAGCCCGGCUAACUUCGUGCCAGCAGCCGC